GUGGUUUUACUUUCCGGCAUAAUAAUUAUGGGUAGAACGGACUUCUCUCAUGUGAUGGAGGUCGAGAUACUCUUAAAUCACAGAGUUAUAUUUGUUCCCUUUUAGUCGUUGCUUGGUUCUUAGGAACUGCGACAGCGCGGAGGAUCUGGAGUGACUGAGGGCGGAUUUAACGUUUUCCGGAUACCGAAACGGAAGACUUACCUGCCACUAUCGUCUCUUUCGCAUCGGAAGAUUCUGCCACUUUUACUGGCAGAAAAUUUGCACCUGCCAAUAUUUUGUGAAAGUCUUAUCUAGGGACGUGUCAACUGUGUGGGAAAUUUUUGUAGAAAAGGUGAAAAUUUGAUUUUCCCUUAGAGCAGGAACGGGUCCAGUUAGGGUCCACCCGAAAAUGGUUUCUUGACCGAGGAGAGAGCCGUAAAUAUUCGGACGGGUGCAGCUUAGGAGAAUGGAUGAAUGGAAGCACAACGGGCCCGACCAGAAUAUUUAUCUGAGCGCUCUCGUCAAACUUUGAAUCCGCUAGUGGCAAUUCGGAAAGGUCCCGUAGAAAAUGUCGGCUUUUUAGAAUCAGCGGAUACUGUCUUACUGGUCAUACUGGUUUAAGCCUGAUACUUGUGCGCGGAUUACCUGGUGUAGCGACAUAAUUAAUUUGAACAACCGCUCAGAAAUCCUAAAUCUAUCAGGGCACUAGCUUUAAAAUUCGAACCCAGGUGACAGAUGUCAAUUAUGGCGGUGCCCAGCAAGACGGAUCUAUAGCCCGUCGCGAAGUAAUUAUUUUGGAAUGUAGAGUCCGAAGACACGGUAGCGGGCGCAACUGGCGAAUUUGGUCUUGGCCUAAGCGAAGGAUUUGAAGGCGAUGGUACAAACGAUACGGUUACUAAAAAG